AGAGUUUGAUCCUGGCUCAGGACGAACGCUGGCGGCGCGCCUAACACAUGCAAGUCGAACGGAGUUGUGUUGAAAGCUUGCUGGAUAUACAACUUAGUGGCGGACGGGUGAGUAACACGUGAGUAACCUGCCUUUCAGAGUGGAAUAACGUUUGGAAACGAACGCUAAUACCGCAUAACAUGAGAGAACGGCAUCGUUCUUUCAUCAAAGAUUUUAUCGCUGAGAGAUGGGCUCGCGGCCGAUUAGGUAGUUGGUGAGAUAACAGCCCACCAAGCCGACGAUCGGUAGCCGGACUGAGAGGUUGAACGGCCACAUUGGGACUGAGACACGGCCCAGACUCCUACGGGAGGCAGCAGUGGGGGAUAUUGCACAAUGGGGGAAACCCUGAUGCAGCGACGCCGCGUGGAGGAAGAAGGUUUUCGGAUUGUAAACUCCUGUCGUUAGGGACGAUAAUGACGGUACCUAACAAGAAAGCACCGGCUAACUACGUGCCAGCAGCCGCGGUAAAACGUAGGGUGCAAGCGUUGUCCGGAAUUACUGGGUGUAAAGGGAGCGCAGGCGGGAAGACAAGUUGGAAGUGAAAACCAUGGGCUCAACCCAUGAAUUGCUUUCAAAACUGUUUUUCUUGAGUAGUGCAGAGGUAGAUGGAAUUCCCGGUGUAGCGGUGGAAUGCGUAGAUAUCGGGAGGAACACCAGUGGCGAAGGCGGUCUACUGGGCACCAACUGACGCUGAGGCUCGAAAGCAUGGGUAGCAAACAGGAUUAGAUACCCUGGUAGUCCAUGCCGUAAACGAUGAUUACUAGGUGUUGGGGGAUUGACCCCCUCAGUGCCGCAGUUAACACAAUAAGUAAUCCACCUGGGGAGUACGACCGCAAGGUUGAAACUCAAAGGAAUUGACGGGGGCCCGCACAAGCAGUGGAUUAUGUGGUUUAAUUCGAAGCAACGCGAAGAACCUUACCAGGGCUUGACAUCCUACUAACGAAGUAGAGAUACAUCAGGUGCCCUUCGGGGAAAGUAGAGACAGGUGGUGCAUGGUUGUCGUCAGCUCGUGUCGUGAGAUGUUGGGUUAAGU
rnacentral:rRNA from 1 species